GUUCCAUCUGAAUGGAAAUCAGCUGAUGUUUCACCAAUUCAUAUAAGAAAGAUAAGAAAGAACUAGCUAUCAACUACCGUCCAAUUUCACUGCUAUCUAUCAUCAGCAAAGUUUUGGAGCGAUGUGUUUGUAAUCGUUUCUACGAACAUAUCCGAGAUUCGAUUAACGAAGCUCAGCAUGGAUUCCUUCAUCGCCGUUCUUGUGCUACACAGCUUCUUUCAACGUUACAUCGUAUUGGACAAUUGCUUGACAAAAAUACCCAGACGGACAUUCUAUUUCUUGACUUCGCUAAAGCCUUCGACUCAGUGGAUCAUGUUAUUCUCUUAAGAAAGC